UGAUCCAUUGAAUAAUUUUAAUCAGGGAAAUCACAGUUGAGAUGGUGUGAGAUCUCUGUGUCUUUUUUUCUUUCUCUACUGUGUUUCCCUGUUUAAAGAAAUUCAUUGGUUCU
rnacentral:pre_miRNA from 1 species